CCUUCCUUUCGAAAACUCAAAUCCAAAUCUUUUCGAUUUCUUAAGGGUAAAAAAAAAAAAAAAAAGAAAAGAAAAAGGUCUUCAAAAAAAAUGUCAGUUCUAAAAAGAGGGAAAAAAAUAGAAUAAAACAGGUUCUUUUAGUUAGUUUUUCCUAGUACCCUGUAAAAACCUUCUCUUCCUCCUGGGCUUGUUGUUGACCCGAAAAAUUUACCUAGCCCAAAAUUUUUUCAAUUUUAGUGGAAGUUGAAUGACCCAUUCCGGAUAUAUGUGUACGGAUAAGAGUGUACGAUAUGUUCAAGUAAAAAAAAAAAAAAAAAAACGCAUUAUAAUAAAAUAAAUAGGUUGAAUCCGGGUCAAAAUAGGUCAUGAUUUUUUGUGCGGCUGGUCAGUUGCACACGUCCGCCAGUGAAAGUGGUCCGUCCUUGACGCUGUCUCGAAACACCAUGCAGGUGUAAAGGUGUUCAGAGAGUUCUCUCAACAGCUCUCUACAGCUCUCUCCGGCCGCAGACGAAGCUUCUCUCUUACGGCCAUUUCAUUUUCAAGGACUUUUUUUAGGUCUCUCUGUGCACGUCAAACAUAUCCGGCCCGUAAAUUAUCUCAUUCAACCAGAGAAAGUCUGUCACACAACAGCUGCAAAUACUUCUAACUAAUCAGCCAAAAAUUUUGAAUGAAAUCUUCUUCGAUAUUACAAUUAGUCUUAAAGAGGAAGAGAAAAAAAAAAAAGGAUCCAAGGCCAGGGCUACUAUGCAAUAGACAAAUGCAAGAUGACCUCUGGACGAGCCGGAAGCGUCACUGGGAUCCUUUUAUAGACACAAAAGCUCCUCGGGGAAAAAUCUGUAAGAGCUGGUACGAAAUAUUUAAUGGCGGGGUACAAACAAAAAAAUUCCCCUGGCAGGAAGCGGCUCGACGCAGCAGACGUACUUCUUGACUAAUCAUCAAACGUGAUUCUCUGAUCCUGGGUUUGAAAAAAAGAAAGAAAGAAAACAAGUCUACACCCCAUCAUGGCGGAAGAAGGAAGCUGGCAACUUGACAAAAGAGGGCGAUUGGACGAAACGAGCGAGCCACGUGAUCUACACGAGUAUCGAUUAUUAUUAGAAGCCUACAGAAAGUGAAAAUCUGCGAGGAUACACACAGACAAAGGAUUCCCCCCUAAAAAAAAAAUCAUGUGGUUGGGAGGCGAAUUUCGCUGAACAAAGUGAAAACGCUUUCAAAGAAUAAAGCAAACAACUCUCUCGAAUCUUUUCCCUUCUUUUCGUGUAUGUAUAGUGUAUGCCUAAAAGUGGAGAGAAGUUUCGAUUAUUAGGCACAGACUAGCUGAUGCUAGCUUCAAGGCAUUAACACCCCCUUUGCCCGAAAGGAACAGAAAAAUGCAUGAACAUACAAGGUAACGGAAUGAAUGAAUUUUUUCUUUUACAAAGACAACGAGACUUCCACCUGGAAUGCUCUUGGCGGAAGGUUGAAGUUGAAAACGGCCACACACGCCCGUCGAUACCUCUAGGAAAGGAGAGAAGUAGAGAACCUUGACCCACUCUCACACUUCGAUUUCUUUUCUCUCUUGUCUCUUUCUCACGUAUACACAUACAUUCGAAAUGUGUGUGUGUGUGAGUGUGAGAGAGAGAGACACUCCUCCAAAAUUUCCAGACACAUUACAUUUUCAUAGCGAAAUUAGGUCAGAUGAUUACCUAGGUAUAGCCAGUUCACGGGGUCCUUCAAAGUUCUCUCUCUCCUCGUUCGUUUUCAGUCAGCUCAGACAGUCUGACGGCCGGUCUCUGUAAUUUGGCAACUUUUUGGCCACUCUGACGCGGUCGUUUGCCUUUUGCUGGCCAAUGUGGAAAACGAAAGAAAAGUGCCGUUGCCACACCACACAUACAGCACAGCUGCUUCGUUGGCUCUCUGACUUCUCUCACAGCUGAUGAGGGCGAGAAAAAUCCGCCAUUCUCCCGCUCUAGAUACGUUGAUGCCGUGUGUGUGUUCAACUGCGCCGGUGCGAUCUUUAUUUUUCCUUUUUUUGUUUCAGACGGCAUUUUUCCCCCCAUUUUCUUGCCAACAGCAAUUUUCUCGCCAUCUGUCGGACGCAGACUGAAAUACAUCUUGCCAUCGCCAAUUCAUGUCUGAUAGCCAAGAAACACGAUGUGCAAUAUAUCAGGUAAAAGAGAGCACGUUUUUUGUUUUAUUUUUUGUUAGUAGGGGAAGGAGAAGGAAUGAUUACUCAUCCAACGAUGUCAUCAUCACGUCUUUCGUCUAACCCUACAUUAACGAUUCCAUCGCCAUAAUGUGUUACACGCACGGAUAGUAUAGGCUACCUGCGGGAAGAGACUGCCUUUUUGACCCCAUUCAUCAGUACACUAAAAAAACAAAAUAAGGAUGUAUUUUUCCGUUUGCUGUUGGUUGCAGACGUUGACCUGCAACCUAUUUACGCUGUCGAGUCCAAAGUUUCUUCCAGGUGGAAUGUUAAAAAGGUUUUAUGUGUUUUGUUGAUUUUGCUCAUCGUUUUUCAGCACGAAAUGACUUGGCGCUGUUCUACUAACUUCUUUCAGUCUUUGAUUUCUGGGUCGUUUGAAAUGCAACAGGUCAACAGGUCACAGUGAAAGUACCUCUUUUAUAAUAUCUCCAAAAGAUUUUCAUUCACGAACACUUUUCCGAGACCAUGGAACAGGUUCGGUUGAACUGGAAACACCAGCUUUCUUCUCACGAAUUUCGACAAGACCGUGUCGCUUAUUUGCAUGAUACUUUCACCUCAUAGUGAAACCCACUAUUCCACUAUACAGUUUUUUUUUAUCGUGUUUGCAAAAAGUCAAAUAUCUGUCGGUUGGACAAUUCUAUACGAACAGGAUUUUUCAUUUUGUUUACACUUUUGAUUGACGUUUUUGUCCUCCUCCCAUUAUUAAUUUUUUGAAUUUAGACAUUGCACUUUUCAAACGGCAAUACACCGUUGUUGAAUUUUGUUGGACACGCCACGACGGACCAUUUUGGCUAGCCUUCUAUAACGAUGCCGUUCUGGAAGCAGAACUGGUUGGAUGGCGCCGUCAAACUGCAUGACCGACCACCACCACGUAAACUCUCUGUGUCAUAACUGGCUAUAUCAAGUUAGUGAGUAUGCGAUAAAAACACUUAAUGCUUUCUAUAAUCUUAUCGUGUUGCUUAUAUCCUUGUGAUAAUUCAUACCGACAUAUGGUCUCUGGCUGUUGUGUAGAAAUUGUUUCAAUAGCUUGGUAGACGCGGCCAUACCAUUUAUUUCGUUGCUUCAUGUUCAGCUUGAAUUUAUCUUGAUUUACUUCAUUGCAACAUAACCUUAUGCAACCUUGCCGACAGUUACUCGCUCUAAUUCGAUCAGCGAUGACUAAACACUGAAAAAAAGUCGAAAGUUCCAGCUAUGUACUUACAUUCUAAACAUUUUAAACGUCUUUUGGGCUACUUUUGAAAUGUAUCCAUUAUUUGACACGGAUAUGCUAGGCUACUACGGAUGUACUUGAUGGCUAUAACACUUAACAACACUUACGUUAUAUGCCUCUUUAAUAUGAAGGGACAGAUCAUGUAGGACGCAAUUAAGACGGGUAGCACAGUACACAGCAGUGAAAGAAGUGAAUAGCGGAUUAGACCACAUGACUGAACAAGUAGGCUGGUCUAUUGGUUACAAUGUGCGGCUUCGAUCUUUGAAACGUUUGCAGCAAGAGUUGGCAGCAAAAAUAAGAUGAAAAGUAGAAACUAUUUGUUGAAGUGGCGGACGAUGCACAUUUCACGUUCAAAUCCAGUCCAUCUCGGUGCCAAAAGUCACACCCAACGAUCACGAAGGCAAAAAUCAAAGAACAAACAACUCAACAAGAUACUUUCAGAUAAUUCACUCUCACAUCCUGCCUUCUGUUCUUAGUCGGGGUUUUAAAAAAACUCUAAUUUCCGUUUUAUGACAUAUACAAUAAAGAUGUAUAACACGAUUA